rnacentral:rRNA from 1 species
UACGAAGGGGGCUAGCGUUGCUCGGAAUCACUGGGCGUAAAGGGCGCGUAGGCGGCUUUUCAAGUGGCGGGUGAAAGCCCUCGGCUUAACCGAGGAACUGCCUGCCAGACUGAAUGGCUUGAGACCGGGAGAGGUGAGUGGAAUUCCCAGUGUAGCGGUGAAAUGCGUAGAUAUUGGGAGGAACACCAGUGGCGAAGGCGGCUCACUGGACCGGUACUGACGCUGAUGUGCGAAAGCGUGGGGAGCAAACAGG